GAUGAACGCUGGCGGCGUGCCUAAUACAUGCAAGUCGAGCGAACGGACGAGAAGCUUGCUUCUCUGAUGUUAGCGGCGGACGGGUGAGUAACACGUGGAUAACCUACCUAUAAGACUGGGAUAACUUCGGGAAACCGGAGCUAAUACCGGAUGAUAUUUUGAACCGCAUGGUUCAAAAGUGAAAGACGGUCUUGCUGUCACUUAUAGAUGGAUCCGCGCUGCAUUAGCUAGUUGGUAAGGUAACGGCUUACCAAGGCAACGAUGCAUAGCCGACCUGAGAGGGUGAUCGGCCACACUGGAACUGAGACACGGUCCAGACUCCUACGGGAGGCAGCAGUAGGGAAUCUUCCGCAAUGGGCGGAAGCCUGACGGAGCAACGCCGCGUGAGUGAUGAAGGUCUUCGGAUCGUAAAACUCUGUUAUUAGGGAAGAACAUAUGUGUAAGUAACUGUGCACAUCUUGACGGUACCUAAUCAGAAAGCCACGGCUAACUACGUGCCAGCAGCCGCGGUAAUACGUAGGUGGCAAGCGUUAUCCGGAAUUUAUGNNGCGUAAGCGCGCGUAGCGGUUUUUUAAGUCUGAUGUGAAAGCCCACGGCUCAACCGUGGAGGGUCAUUGGAAACUGGAAAACUUGAGUGCAGAAGAGGAAGGUGGAAUUCCAUGUGUAGCGGUGAAAUGCGCAGAGAUAUGGAGGAACACCAGUGGCGAAGGCGACUUUCUGGUCUGUAACUGACGCUGAUGUGCGAAAGCGUGGGGAUCAAACAGGAUUAGAUACCCUGGUAGUCCACGCCGUAAACGAUGAGUGCUAAGUGUUAGGGGGUUUCCGCCCCUUAGUGCUGCAGCUAACGCAUUAAGCACUCCGCCUGGGGAGUACGACCGCGAGGUUGAAACUCAAAGGAAUUGACGGGGACCCGCACAAGCGGUGGAGCAUGUGGUUUAAUUCGAAGCAACGCGAAGAACCUUACCAAAUCUUGACAUCCUUUGACGACUCUAGAGAUAGAGCCUUCCCCUUCGGGGGACAAAGUGACAGGUGGUGCAUGGUUGUCGUCAGCUCGUGUCGUGAGAUGUUGGGUUAAGUCCCGCAACGAGCGCAACCCUUAAGCUUAGUUGCCAUCAUUAAGUUGGGCACUCUAAGUUGACUGCCGGUGACAAACCGGAGGAAGGUGGGGAUGACGUCAAAUCAUCAUGCCCCUUAUGAUUUGGGCUACACACGUGCUACAAUGGACAAUACAAAGGGCAGCGAAACCGCGAGGUCAAGCAAAUCCCAUAAAGUUGUUCUCAGUUCGGAUUGUAGUCUGCAACUCGACUAUAUGAAGCUGGAAUCGCUAGUAAUCGUAGAUCAGCAUGCUACGGUGAAUACGUUCCCGGGUCU
rnacentral:rRNA from 1 species